rnacentral:rRNA from 1 species
AUGUCGAGAGCCCAUGGGUCGGGCAGACGCAUGGGUGAUGCAGCCAGGCCCAUGGACGGAGAGAGAAGAAGGCUGGCAGAGGAGCCCGGCCCGGUAUCUCUGCUAUCGCGGGCCUUGUUGUGGGCUACCCAUGUCGUCCUCAUCCUCGCCUCGCCGUCUAUUCUAAAAAAAAUAAAAAAUAAUCCUCGCCUCGUCGUCGUCCUCCCGCGAACCGCCGCAGCCAUGGCGCACCUCCCGCCGCUUCAGCCGACGCAGCCCGCGAGCCUCAAUCUGCGGGGCGCAGACGCCGCCGCCGAACCCCGCGCGCCCAAGCUCCACCGCCCCCUGGAGCCUCCGCGUCCGGCCGCGCAGGGGGGCCUCCACCGGCAUGUGUCCCUCUAUCCCGCCAGCAGGCGCCAGGAGCCGAAUCCGCCGACGAGCAGCAGGAGCCGAGGAGGGAGGUCGCCGCCGCCGAGCAGUCGAAACCGGUCACAGGCGCCACCGUCUGAAGUUUGGCCUCGAUCAAGGUCGCCGCCGUCCACAUCGAUCACCGAGCGCCUGGCGGAGCCGCAGCACGCCAAGCGGCCACGCCGAGGCGAGCCGCACGCGGCCGAGGCUGCCGUGGAUGGUCGGGAUGAAGGGGAGAAGGCGGCGUCAAUGUUGUCGUCGGCAGACGGGUCGUCCGUGGAGAAUCGGCCAAGCCACAGCCACUGCAAGCAGCCAGAAACUUCGUCAGCUGCAGUGGAGCAGAGACCUGAUCCUACAAUCCCGGGGGAUGAGCAGAAGUUGUGUACUGAGAAGAUGGAUGCAAAGGCCCACACUGAUCACAGGUUGUUACGGUUGUUUUACCUGUCCAAUUGUCUAUGUCGUGUUACUCAUCAGGUGGGUCCAUCCAGAAGUGCUCGUCGCAAAAAGAUGAAAAAACAGAUACGGGCAGAAUCUGAAAAGGAACUGAGGGAGGUAUGCAAUUCCUCCUGCUCCCCUCUGACGCCACCUCUUCCCUUGCUCCAGCUCAAGCUGCGGGGCGCAGACGCCGCCAUCGAAUUCUGCGCGUCCAAGCUGCACGCCCCCCUGGAGCCGCAGCAGCUGUCCGGGAGCCUCCACCGGCAUGUGUCUCUGUGCUCUGCCAGCAGGUGCCAGGAACCGAAUCCGCCGCCGUGCAGCAGGCACCGAGCAGAGAAGUCGCCGCCGCUGAAUUCCAAAGUUAGGCCUCGAGAAAGGUUGCCGCCGAUCACUCAGCUCCUAACGGAGCAGCAGCACGCCAAGCGGCCACGCCAAGGCGAGGCGGACGCAGCCGAGGCUGCCGUGGAAGGUAAGGAGGAAGGGGAGAAGGCGGUGUCAAUGUUAUCGUCAGUCGAUGGGUUGUCCGUGGAGAAUCGGCCAAGCUACAGAAACUGCAACAGCGAGCAGCCAGAAACUUUAUCAGCUGCAGUGGAGGAGAGACCUGAUCAUGCAAUCCCGGGGGAUGAGCAGAAGUUGGAUAGUGGGAGGAGGGAUGCAAAGACCCAGACUGAUCACAAGGAGGGUCCAUCCAGAAGUGCUCGUCGCAAAAAGAUGAAAAAACAGAUACGGGCAGAAUCUGAAAAGGAACUGAGGGAGAUGAAAAAGGAUAAGCUGUUAGAAAACAUUAAAAAGCUGCAAGCUUGCAUCUGGCUUCUUGAGAAGGAAGAUGCAGACACGGCUGAAAUCAUGGACUUCAGGAGUUUGCUUGAAUCAACGAAGAUGCAGUAUGUGCAGUAUGUGGAGAAUGAGACACAGUUGGCAAAGGAAGGAUCGAGUGCAUCACCUCAGGCGCUAAACAAGGAUAGACUCGAGAAAAUGCAUGUGGAAGCUCCUAUAGAGAAGGUUGAGGGAGAUGAGCAGAACAUGGAUUCUGGAAAGGCAGUGGGCAGUAGCCUGAAAGGUUGUCAGGCAAGUUCUUUUCAUGAUAAAUAUUUUUGGGCAGUCUUGAAACAAAACGAAUUAGUGGAGGAGGUGGAUCGUCUGAAGAGCGAACUUGAAGCAGUCAGGCAAGAUCGUGAGUAUCAAUUAGCUCAGGUACAGUCUUUGACGGCUGACAUAGCUAAGCAGAAAGAAGUUGCAAGAAGAUGUGGGGCUGAGCUAGAGAAUGCCAUGAGGAGAGUUGCUGCCCUCGAGGAAGGAGGCCUAUUGCAAAGGGAGACAAUCAGAACGUUGCAGAUUCAGCUUGCUUCUGCAAAUGAGAAACUAACGAACUAUUUUGUGCUGUCUCGAACUGGGAGACUGACUGACAUUGCCUUGGCUGUAAUCAGGGGCUGCCUUCUUCCUCCAAAGAUUGAUGCGAAGCCGAAGCAAUUAUUUGUUUCUGGAACUGAGUCCGACGCCGCGCUAUUUCAGAGAGCAUCAUCCACCAUUCGUAGCUACGCACCUACUCCCACCAUUAACGACUUGAAAGCAGUUCGAUGA